AGUCACCCUCCGGCCCGCGGGGCCCUGGGUGGAGCUGCUGCGGCGGGUCCACGGAGGCAGCGCUUCUAUUUUUAACCCUAUUGUCCGCCCUCAGCCACCCACACCAGCCCAGUUUCUCACGCUUCGUCCCCAGCUCCGCCGGGGUCCCCUCCCCGCGGGACGGGAAGGCACGGCCCGGAGGAGGCUGGCAGGGUUCCGGGUGUCGCCGCAGCUCCGCCUGCCACCGCCCAAGGUCGCGGUGCGCUGCCAGCUCUGAGCUAGGACCGCCCACCAGCCCCAGCCCCGCGCCGCCGUUCUGAACUGUUAAGCCAGCCUAUAGAAACCCCUGGAAAUUUACUAUUCCAGUGAAGCACGGAGAACCCUGACAAGCCUGAUGAGAUGGAGCAAGAGGGACAAACAAGCCGGACCCCAGGCAAGGGCAAGGUGCUGGGUACCUGCCCAGAGCACGAACAGAAGAAGCUUUCUGCUGGUCUCUCCGUGGGUUCUGGUCACAAAAUGUCUCUGCCGAAAUCCAUAAGGGCUACUACCUUAGCUACAAAUAUGCACUUAGGGUCCUUCACUUCGGGUAUUUAAGAACCGUAGGCCUUGAAGGGCUACCUUAACGGCAUUUAUGCACUUAGGGUCCUUCAUUUCGGGUAUUUAAAAACCCUAGGCCUAUCUCUAAGGUACCCUAGGGUUGGCCUUGACUGGGACACACGAACCUCAUUUCUAGAUUUUGUAUUUGUGAUAUUGUGGAAGUAGUGUGGGGGAGGGGUGCUGCCCUGAUGCUCCAAAUCUAACUGCUCCCUGCACAGCAAGUGGACUAACCGGUACAUAAUACAUUUUAAAAACCUAUUUCGGGGUUAUAUUGCUAUGGUCAAGUAAUGUAUUUCAGACUUAGUUUGGGUCAUUUGUCCUAGGAUCUUUGGGAUUUAUUUCUGUAAACUAGUAAAUAAUAAAACUAACUGCUACCAUUUACCAGCC
rnacentral:lncRNA from 1 species